UCCCUGGUGGCUCAGAUGGUAAAGCGUCUGCCUGCAGUGCAGGAGACCCAGGUUCAAUCCCUGGGUUGGGAA
rnacentral:tRNA from 1 species